GGCCCACGCGCGAGUGGCGGAGGUUGCCGCAGCAUCCGGAGCUAAGGACCAGGAGUGAGCGGAGCGUGUCGAGCGGCCGCUCUCCGGUUACCUGGCCUUGGGCUCGCUCCGGGGCGGCCGGUCCUGCGAUACUUGAGCAAGUAAACACAUGCUAAAGGAUGGCACAUGUGCUGAAAUGUUGAAGUCAAAGGAACUAAUCAGUGGCAUGUUCCAACAUACAACAGAAACUGGAAUUGUAUGUUCUUACCUUGUUUUGCUCAGAUGUGUACUGUAUUUUUAGAGUAUCCAUAGCUCUGAUCAUGGCUUGUAUGGCAGUAAAUAUGUUUUGAUAAACCAGUUUUGUGAAGCUUUUCCUAUCUUCAUCUGUAUAACCUGACCCAUGAAUAAUCCUCAUCUGUUUAAUAAAGGUGCUUUUUCCACUUUCUCCUGUGCCUGCAAGAAAACAC